rnacentral:rRNA from 1 species
GAGUUUGAUCGUGGCUCAGGAUGAACGCUAGCUACAGGCUUAACACAUGCAAGUCGAGGGGCAGCAUGGUCUUAGCUUGCUAAGACUGAUGGCGACCGGCGCACGGGUGAGUAACACGUAUCCAACCUGCCGUCUACUCUUGGACAGCCUUCUGAAAGGAAGAUUAAUACAAGAUGGCAUCAUGAGUCCGCAUGUUCACAUGAUUAAAGGUAUUCCGGUAGACGAUGGGGAUGCGUUCCAUUAGGCAGUUGGCGGGUAACGCCCACAAACCGCGAUGGAUAGGGGUUCUGAGAGGAACGGUCCCCCACAUUGGUACUGAGACACGGACCAAAC